AAGAAUGCUUCUGGUAACAGGAGGUCAAGACUGGUGCCAGCAUCCGCGGUAAUACCAGCUCCUGGAGUGUCUAUGAUGAUUGCUGCAGUUAAAGAGUUCGUAGUCGGGCUGCGUGACUGGCGUGAAAGGCCUUCUUUCAAGGGGGGCACAGCGCGGGGAAAGCAGAGGAUAAGGAGCGUUUUGGGGCCAGGUUAUUAAGCGACGAGAGGUGAAAUUUGAUGACUCGCUUAGGAGGAACAGAGGCGAAAGCGCUGGCCAGGGGCGAAUCCGAUGAUAAAGGACGUAGGCUAGAGGAUCGAAGACGAUUAGAGACCGUUGUAGUUCUAGCAGUAAACGAUGCCGAUGCCGUGGUGCGUGCGCGCGACGCGGAGGAGAAAUUGAGUAGGGCCCUGGGGAGAGUACACGCGCAAGCGAGAAAUUUAAAGGAAAUUGACGGAAGAACACCACAAGGAGUGGAGUGUGCGGCUUAAUUUGACUCAACGCGNUUCCCUUCCCAGGGAAGACGACCGCACGAUCCGAGGA
rnacentral:rRNA from 1 species